rnacentral:rRNA from 1 species
CACGUAGGGGGCAAGCGUUGUCCGGAUUCAUUGGGCGUAAAGGGCUCGUAGGCGGUUCGAUAAGUCGGGUGUGAAACCUCCAGGCUCAACCUGGAGACGCCACCCGAUACUGUCGUGACUAGAGUCCAGUAGGGGAGCGUGGAAUUCCUGGUGUAGCGGUGAAAUGCGCAGAUAUCAGGAGGAACACCGAUGGCGAAGGCAGGUCUCUGGGCCGAUACUGACGCUGAGGAGCGAAAGCGUGGGGAGCGAACAGG